AUAUGGAUGGUUGUCUGUAGUAGCAGCGGAUUCAAAAUCCGCCGGUGAAUAACCGUGUCGGUUCGAGUCCGACCCCGGGCACCA
rnacentral:tRNA from 1 species